rnacentral:hammerhead_ribozyme from 1 species
AGCCGAAACCCCGCCCCGGGCUGCCGGUGGUGCGGGUCGCCAGGGCGUGGCGUCCCUGGCCUGACGAUGGCUGCCAAUC